CCUACGGGGUGCAGCAGUGGGGAAUAUUGGACAAUGGGCGAAAGCCUGAUCCAGCCAUGCCGCGUGUGUGAAGAAGGCCUUCGGGUUGUAAAGCACUUUCAGUGGGGAAGAAAGCCUUGGGGCUAAUACCCUCGAGGAAGGACAUCACCCACAGAAGAAGCACCGGCUAACUCCGUGCCAGCAGCCGCGGUAAUACGGAGGGUGCGAGCGUUAAUCGGAAUUACUGGGCGUAAAGCGCGCGUAGGCGGUCUGAUAAGCCGGUUGUGAAAGCCCCGGGCUCAACCUGGGAACGGCAUCCGGAACUGUCAGGCUAGAGUGCAGGAGAGGAAGGUAGAAUUCCCGGUGUAGCGGUGAAAUGCGUAGAGAUCGGGAGGAAUACCAGUGGCGAAGGCGGUCUUCUGGACUGACACUGACGCUGAGGGGCGAAAGCGUGGGUAGCAAACAGGAUUAGAUACCCGGGUAGUC
rnacentral:rRNA from 1 species